rnacentral:lncRNA from 1 species
UUUGGUGCGGCACAAAAUUAAGGAAUCUCCUAGCAUUGCAUAGCAAGAAUGUCGCAAGCUAUCAGUAACCUAGGUACACAGAAAUC